GACGAACGCUGGCGGCGUGCUUAACACAUGCAAGUCGAACGAUGAAGCCGGAGCUUGCUCCGGUGGAUUAGUGGCGAACGGGUGAGUAACACGUGAGCAAUCUGCCCUUGACUCUGGAAUAACUGCGGGAAACUGUAGCUAAUACCGGAUACGACACCUUGGGGCAUCCCAGGGUGUGGAAAGAAUUUCGGUCAAGGAUGAGCUCGCGGCCUAUCAGCUAGUUGGUGAGGUAAUGGCUCACCAAGGCGACGACGGGUAGCCGGCCUGAGAGGGUGACCGGCACACUGGAACUGAGACACGGUCCAGACUCCUACGGGAGGCAGCAGUGGGGAAUAUUGCACAAUGGGCGAAAGCCUGAUGCAGCAACGCCGCGUGAGGGAUGAAGGCCUUCGGGUUGUAAGCCUCUUUUAGCAGGGAAGAAGCGAAAGUGACGGUACCUGCAGAAAAAGCACCGGCUAACUACGUGCCAGCCGCCGCCGUAA
rnacentral:rRNA from 1 species